rnacentral:miRNA from 1 species
UUUAGGCCCAGCUGUGUGAUC